GUGAUACAAAAAUCAUGUUGUUACAAUACUGGAGCACAAUAUGUAGUUUAUGUGGCUUAUUUUCAUAAGUGCAUUGCGUGCUCCAGUUUUGGUCAAUUCUGGCAGCGAUUUGAAAU
rnacentral:precursor_RNA from 10 species